AUUGUGCCAUCGGGGCAAGAUGGCGUGCAGUGUCAUGGGACUGCCUGGCACGUUGGAAGCGUGGGCACACAGAAGACUUCACCUCCUAGUCUGCUUAGAGUUAGGCCGGGUCACAUGACUAGCUGUAGACCAGGAGGUGGAGUACAUGCGACACGCAUCACUUUGGGCUGACACGGUGAACCGCUCCUUUCCAGUUCUCUCUGCUCCUCUGUUCCUCUGUUGCAGCCUCUGAAGAGACACUGAGAUCAUAAGAGCACACUGAGUCACUGAGUCACCACGCGGAGGACAGUCACUCUGCAAUAUCCAAUUGAUCCAGCACCAUUUAUUUAAAAGAUGAUCUUCUUCCAAAGAAAUGGAACUAUGACCUUUGCCACAAGUCAGGUACUCAUACUAAGAGCUGUGGCUGUGGCUGGAACUUGGAAACAUCCUGAAAAUGAAAGCCAGUCUCUGCCAGGGGCUGCAAAACGGUGCGGUUAGAGUCCGAAAAGAGGGACGUCAAGGCUGCUGUGAACACGUCCAGGUGCAGACGGACUGGGCCUGGGCUUGCUUCUCUGGCUGGGUCUCCAUGGGAAACAUCCUAUGGUGAGGUCCUCAGCCUGCGCUUUGUGUCAGUAAAUUCCUCAAACAUAAACACUUCCUUGGCCGGAAGGAAGUCACCUGGUGGGGCCUGCGAGCAGAGUCCUGGAAGACGCAUCAACUCAACAGCGGCCCUGAAGGACCAGGGUGACCUGCUAAUGGGAAGCUCACGGUCCUCGCCUCCCCAGGAGUCACACAGCGGAUGCGGGACUUCCUCGUCUGGACGAAUAUUCUGGGUACAUACAUCUUUCUCAAUAAAGGAGUGUUGAGACCACAGGAACGAUCUAGAAUGCUGCCUCCUUUGUCUGCCAGGCUUUUUUCCUGAAGUUCUGCCUUCACAUUUAUCCUAAUUCUAAUCACUUUCUGUGAAAAUCUCUGCCUAUGCGGGAGCCACAGCUUUCUUUCAACGAUUUUCUGAGUUGAAUCUACUCCAUCUUCUCUUUAGUACCUGCUAAUUCAGCAGCACUUACCCUCUCCCUCUGUGUCCCAGGUGUGAGUAAGUCACUGGGAACUCACGAUGCUCAGGACGUGGCCUCUGCCCCGGCAGCCUGGCUCUACGGCGGGGUGGAUGCACCGACACUCAUGUGGUCAGGGGUAG
rnacentral:lncRNA from 1 species